ensembl:lncRNA
ACAGGUGUGGUGGAGGUGACUCUGGACGUACUAGUUUGAAGCGUGCUUGUUGCUGGAGUGGUGGUGCUUGUUGCUGUGGGGCUGGCAGUGGUGGUUUUGGUGGUUGUAGCAGGAGAUGGUGUAGCAGUCGUAGGUGGGGUGGUUGUAGCAGGAGAUGGUGUAGCAGUCGUAGGUGGGGUGGUUGUAGCAGGAGAUGGUGUAGCAGUCGUAGGUGGGGUGGUUGUAGCAGGAGAUGCUGUAGCAGUCGUAGGUGGGGUGGUUGUAGCAGGAGAUGCUGUAGCAGUCGUAGGUGGGGUGGUUGUAGCAGGAGAUGCUGUAGCAGUCGUAGGUGGGGUGGUUGUAGCAGGAGAUGCUGUAGCAGUCGUAGGUGGGGUGGUUGUUGCGGACGUUGUUAUGAUGCUCGUGGUGGUUGUAGUAUCUGCAGUUGUAACUGGGAAACUAUCACCGGAAGUGGUGGGUGGUGUGGUUUUGGUGACUGUGGUAUGAGAUGGUGACAUGGAUGUAGGUGUAGUUGCUGAUGUUGUUAUGAAUAGUAUGGGUGCAGUCUCAGUGGUUGUGGUGGGGGUGGUGGUACUGGCAGUGGUAGGUGUGGUUUUGACGGCUGUGGUUAGAGACGGCUUCGUGGCUGUGGGUAUGGGUAUGGUUCCUGCAGUUGUAGCGGGAGUGGAGGCACCAGUGGACGUUUGGAUGGUAUGUGUCAAGCUGGCUGUUCUAGCUGGCGGAGGGAUGGUUGUGUGUGUAGUUGCUGGUGUUGUUAUGGGUGGUGCGACUGUAGUCUCUGCGGUUGUGACAGGGGUGGUGCUACUGGCGGCUGUAGGAGAUGUGGUUUUGAUGGCUGUGGUUGGAGCAGGUGCUGUUAUGCUGCUCCGAGAGGGUGUGGUUACAGCAGCGGUGGUGCUGAUGUUUGUUGUACUCGUUUGUGGGACUGAUGGAGCUGAGGUGCUACUUGCAGUGACUGCAUCACCUGUUGGUGCUGUUGAUAAUACUCCUUGAGUCAGACUCUCUGAGAUGUUUGGAUGAAGGGUGGAGUCUGUGUGUGUGGGUGGGGUCUGGCCGUGAGUCCUGGGUGGUCUAUGUGUGCUGGUGCUGGAUGCAGACGGUGGAGGAGUGGUGGUGGUGGGUGCAGCUGAGGCGGUGCUGUCUGAGGAUGCUGCAGAUGUUUGGUGUGUGGAUCCAUCCUCAGGUUGUAACUCAGUUAUGACGUCUGUUGCUCCACCUGUGCUCACACGUGAGGAACCCAGCGUCAUGCCUUCACCUCCGCUCGACUUGGACUGGUUUCUAGUGAUGGAGGACCAUGACUUGUACGACGACGUGACCACCUCCGUCCUGACUAGGGAGUCACCUCCACCUGACGAGGUCUCCGAGGCGAGUGACUGGUCGGUGGUAAAAGCAGCUGUGCCAUUUAAAGGGGAUAGGUGGGUGACUGCAGGGGAAACAUCUGGAGGUGACAGAUUGUCCGUGACAGCGUUCCCAGGACGCCUGAUGGUUUGGGCGGAGUUAGACAGGUCCAGCGGUGUGGAUGAAGAA